GUCAAAGGAAAAGAGAGGUGAUCAGCCAGCCAGCAACAUUCAUAUGCAUCGAGCCUGGGGCCAGUUGCAAAGAAUAGUCGAAGUCGGACCUCAGUAGAUAUUCUACUGAAUUAUGACUGGCCUUCCCCACCCUAUGCUGUGCAAGGGGGGGAGAGACAGACCUGGGGACCACAACACCUGAACUGGACAUGAGUGUUCCCGGCAGCCCUCUUUCAACACCCGAGCUCAGUGAUUUUGCAGUGUGAGGAUUUAUGAUGACAGCCAGAAGAAAGCUCAGAUAGACUCGUUCAGCUCCAGCGACCAGGGACUG